rnacentral:rRNA from 1 species
CCUACGGGGGGCAGCAGUGGGGGAUAUUGCACAAUGGGGGAAACCCUGAUGCAGCGACGCCGCGUGUGGGAAGACGGUCCUCUGGAUUGUAAACCACUGUCCCCAGGGACGAAGAUGACGGUACCUGGGGAGGAAGCUCCGGCUAACUACGUGCCAGCAGCCGCGGUAAUACGUAGGGAGCGAGCGUUGUCCGGAAUUACUGGGUGUAAGGGGAGCGUAGGCGGGACUGCAAGUUGGGUGUCAAAUCUACCGGCUCAACCGGUAGCCGCACUCAAAACUGCAGUUCUUGAGUGAAGUAGAGGCAGGCGGAAUUCCUAGUGUAGCGGUGAAAUGCGUAGAUAUUAGGAGGAACACCAGUGGCGAAGGCGGCCUGCUGGGCUUUUACUGACGCUGAGGCUCGAAAGUGUGGGGAGCAAACAGGAUUAGAUACCCUAGUAGUC